rnacentral:rRNA from 1 species
AUACGGAGGAUGCAAGCGUUAUCCGGAUUUAUUGGGUUUAAAGGGUGCGUAGGCGGAUGAUUAAGCGUGAGGUGAAAUGCCACUGCUUAACAGUGGAACUGCCUCGCGAACUGGUUGUCUUGAGUGCUCCUGCCGUGGGAGGAAUGUGUGGUGUAGCGGUGAAAUGCAUAGAGAUCACACAGAACACCGAUUGCGAAGGCAUCUCACGAAGGGGUGAUUGACGCUGAGGCACGAAAGCGUGGGGAUCAAACAGGAUUAGAUACCCUGGUAGUCCACGCAGUAAACGAUGAUAACUAACCGCUGGGUCGUAGUGAUUCAGUGGCCAAGCGAAAGCGAUAAGUUAUCCACCUGGGGAGUACGACUGCAAGGUUGAAACUCAAAUGAAUUGACGGGG